CACACCGCCCGUCACACCAUGGGAGUUUGUUGCACCAGAAGCAGGUAGCUUAACCGCGAAGGGGGGCGCUUGCCACGGUGUGGCCGAUGACUGGGGUG
rnacentral:rRNA from 1 species